AUUGCCCCAGUAACGGCGAGUGAAGCGGCAACAGCUCAAAUUUGAAAUCUGGCCCCCGGGUCCGAGUUGUAAUUUGCAGAGGAUGCUUUGGGCGAGGUGCCUUCCGAGUUCCCUGGAACGGGACGCCACAGAGGGUGAGAGCCCCGUCUGGUCGGACACCGAGCCCGUGUAAAGCUCCUUCGACGAGUCGAGUAGUUUGGGAAUGCUGCUCAAAAUGGGAGGUAUAUGUCUUCUAAAGCUAAAUAUUGGCCAGAGACCGAUAGCGCACAAGUAGAGUGAUCGAAAGAUGAAAAGCACUUUGAAAAGAGGGUUAAAAAGUACGUGAAAUUGUUGAAAGGGAAGCGCCUAUGACCAGACUUGGGCCCGGUGAAUCAUCCAGCGUUCUCGCUGGUGCACUUUGCCGGGCACAGGCCAGCAUCAGUUUGGCGCGGGGGACAAAGGCUUCGGGAAUGUGGCUCCCUCGGGAGUGUUAUAGCCCGCUGCGUAAUACCCUGCGCCGGACUGAGGUACGCGCAUCGCAAGGAUGCUGGCGUAAUGGUCAUCAGCGACCCGUCUUGAAACACGGACCAAGGAGUCGUCUUCGUAUGCGAGUGUUCGGGUGUCAAACCCCUACGCGGAAUGAAAGUGAACGCAGGUGAGAGCUUCGGCGCAUCAUCGACCGAUCCUGAUGUUCUCGGAUGGAUUUGAGUAAGAGCAUACGGGGCCGGACCCGAAAGAAGGUGAACUAUGCCUGUAUAGGGUGAAGCCAGAGGAAACUCUGGUGGAGGCUCGCAGCGGUUCUGACGUGCGAAUCGAUCGUC
rnacentral:rRNA from 1 species